GAUGAACGCUGGCGGCGUGCCUAAUACAUGCAAGUAGAACGCUGAAGCUUGGUGCUUGCACCGAGCGGAUGAGUUGCGAACGGGUGAGUAACGCGUAGGUAACCUGCCUCUUAGCGGGGGAUAACUAUUGGAAACGAUAGCUAAUACCGCAUAAAAGUCGACAUCGCAUGAUGUUGACUUGAAAGGUGCAAUUGCAUCACUAAGAGAUGGACCUGCGUUGUAUUAGCUAGUUGGUGAGGUAACGGCUCACCAAGGCGACGAUACAUAGCCGACCUGAGAGGGUGAUCGGCCACACUGGGACUGAGACACGGCCCAGACUCCUACGGGAGGCAGCAGUAGGGAAUCUUCGGCAAUGGGGGCAACCCUGACCGAGCAACGCCGCGUGAGUGAAGAAGGUUUUCGGAUCGUAAAUGCUCUGUUGUAAGAGAAGAACGAGUGUGAGAUGUGGAAAUGUUCACACU
rnacentral:rRNA from 1 species